rnacentral:rRNA from 1 species
AUUAAACGCUGGCGGCAUGCCUUACACAUGCAAGUCGAACGGCAGCACGGGGGCAACCCUGGUGGCGAGUGGCGGACGGGUGAGUAAUACAUCGGAACGUAUCCUGGAGUGGGGGAUAACGUAGCGAAAGUUACGCUAAUACCGCAUAUUCUGUGAGCAGGAAAGCAGGGGAUCGCAAGACCUUGCGCUCUGGGAGCGGCCGAUGUCGGAUUAGCUAGUUGGUGGGGUAAAGGCCUACCAAGGCGACGAUCCGUAGCGGGUCUGAGAGGAUGAUCCGCCACACUGGGACUGAGACACGGCCCAGACUCCUACGGGUGGCAG